GGCUGUGGCGCGUGAGUGGGGGAUGACGAAGGGACACGGGGAAUGAGGGGCUCCCUUGCUGUCCCCCCGCCCACAGUUAUGGCCCCUCUGGACCGUCUCUUCCCUACCCCGCUCAUCUCUCAUGACCAGCCAAGGCUCCCACUCGCCGGAACGGCAGCUCCCUCAAAACGCCCUUGUCUGGGCUAAGUGCCGCUCCCGCCCUGCUCUCGUAGCGUCUGAGCCCUUCUCUUCAACCACCAGCUUCUUCAGGCUGGACUGGCCGCCGGUUAGCUCCUCCUCUGCGCUGCCCCUCACUCCCGUUGCAUCUACCUCCUUUACGCCUCUGCUGCUCUCAGUCUUGCUCCUGCCUGUAGCCUGAUCAGUGGAACUGGAGUCAGAGGGCCAGAGUAACCCCAAGCUAGUUUUCACAGCUGAUUCUGAGAGACUGUUGCACAAGGCUAUUUUCGGGCUCAAAACUCUUGUUAGCAUUUUUGACACAGAUGCGUACCCCAUCAUGGUUGUAAAACAGUCCAGCCCAAGCACUGACGGGACAAAAGAUCAAAGCACUAAUACCAGUUAGGAGAGACCUUUGGCAGCCAGAAGAAUGGGGAUACUACCAAGAGGAGAUCAAUCAGAGAAAGCAGGAAUUAGCUUAUAGGGCAGCCAAGGACCUACCAGCUUUGCAGAUAGGCACUACUUUGAAGAUCCGGUUAUUAGACCCCAGAAGGAAGGGACUAACAGAGUUGUGAGGGAUGCAGUGGCAUCCAGGUAAUACAACUCAUUAUGCAAGAAGGACAAGUGAUUCAUAAAAACAGGAGACACUUAUGAGCCAGUAGACAUAACACCCAGCUCAUCACAGAACAGAAACAGAACCAUCCAGAGGCCAACCUCAAAGGGAGGAAGAAGACUCCACUAAAAGAUAGUUUGCUACAGUCAGUGAUAAGUGACGGGGAGACAGAGAUAGGUCACUCUUGGUAUAGUCACCUGUUGAGAACAGAUUAUCUCAAAGACUGCAUAACCAGUGAAGACAAGACUCCAACUUGGCUAUGUGCAGCAAUCUCUGGCUAAAAGGACACAGGGUGCAGCAUGAACAGUGGCAAUGCAGUCUUCUCCCUCACUGCUGUGACAUUUCAUCUAAUUCCUGACCUAGAGGGAUCAUCUCUUGGGGCCUAGACUCUCACAAGUGGCCAGCAAAAAUUCCAUCUGGGCCUGCACCUGGUACCGAGACUUGCCCUUGAGGAGCCAAUCGUCCAGGAAAUCUAGAAUGUGUGCGAGGAAAGACUUGAGAGAAGGUAUGGAUCAUUGGGCAUACCACACUUGAAAACACUUCCAUUUCUGAAGACAAUAUGGAUGCACUCAAAUGUUUUCAUUUCUGAGGUGGAACAUUUUCAGCUGUGGUUGGAAGGGAAUGUUACUGAUGAUUGAUACUACACGAAGUAAUAACACCAAAGAGGUUGCUGGCACUAAGAAAGAUGACAGUGCACAGAGUCUAGGAAGAAACUUCUUCACUCUUGACUUCAAGAGAAAUCAAAAUGAAGGGUGCUAAGCGCACAGAUUUUUGUGAAGGACCUCAGAAAAUGGACAAUCUUUGGAGAAGGCCUUCAACUAAACAGUUAACUCUCACAUGCCUAGUGGAGGCAUACAAAGGUAAAGUAAGA